GAAGCUGGCCAGACAGUCGCCGCGUACGCAAGUGCGGGGAGGAAAGUCCGGGCUCCACAGAGCAGGAUGCCGGUUAACGACCGGACGCCGUGAGGCGAUGGAAAGUGCCACAGAAAAUAUACCGCCCAAGUUCUUUCGGGAAACGGCAAGGUUGAAAUGGCGAGGUAAGAGCUCACCGCGCUGGUGGCAACAUCGGCGGCAGGGUAAACCCCAUCCGGAGCAAGACCAAAUAGGCUGGCCAUGACGUUGCUCGCGUCGCCAGCGGGUAGGUUGCUUGAGCGUCAGGUAACGAAACGCCUAGAGGAAUGACUGUCCACGACAGAACCCGGCUUAUCGGCCAGCUUCACCU
rnacentral:RNase_P_RNA from 1 species